rnacentral:rRNA from 1 species
ACUCCUACGGGAGGCAGCAGUGGGGAAUAUUGCGCAAUGGGCGGAAGCCUGACGCAGCGACGCCGCGUGAGGGAUGAAGGCCUUCGGGUCGUAAACCUCUUUCAGCAGGGAAGAAGCGAAAGUGACGGUACCUGCAGAAGAAGCACCGGCUAACUACGUGCCAGCAGCCGCGGUAAUACGUAGGGUGCAAGCGUUGUCCGGAAUUAUUGGGCGUAAAGAGCUCGUAGGCGGUCUGUCGCGUCUGCUGUGAAAACUCAGGGCUUAACCCUGAGCUUGCAGUGGGUACGGGCAGACUAGAGUGCGGUAGGGGAGACUGGAAUUCCUGGUGUAGCGGUGAAAUGCGCAGAUAUCAGGAGGAACACCGGUGGCGAAGGCGGGUCUCUGGGCCGUAACUGACGCUGAGGAGCGAAAGCAUGGGGAGCGAACAGGAUUAGAUACCCUGGUAGUCCAUGCCGUAAACGUUGGGCGCUAGGUGUGGGGACCUUUCCAUGGUUUCCGUGCCGCAGCUAACGCAUUAAGCGCCCCGCCUGGGGAGUACGGCCGCAAGGCUAAAACUCAAAGGAAUUGACGGGGGCCCGCACAAGCGGCGGAGCAUGCGGAUUAAUUCGAUGCAACGCGAAGAACCUUACCAAGGCUUGGCAUGGGGUGAAAACUCGCAGAGAUGCGGGGUCCGUAAGGGCGCCUCACAGGUGGUGCAUGGUUGUCGUCAGCUCGUGUCGUGAGAUGUUGGGUUAAGUCCCGCAACGAGCGCAACCCUCGUUCCAUGUUGCCAGCGCGUUAUGGCGGGGACUCAUGGGAGACUGCCGGGGUCAACUCGGA